rnacentral:misc_RNA from 1 species
AAGAGAAUUUUCCAAAUGCCUAAGCUUCUCUCUUCUCUGUACUUGAAAUUCGUUUUCAACAGUGAUGAGAACAGAAAUUAGCACAUCAAAUUCUCAGUAAAUUUCUUUGUUGCAGUGAGAGUUACAUCACUUGAUCACAAGUACAGCAAACACUGAUUACGUAUCGACCCAAAUCCCACUUACAGAGAAGACCCACAAAAAGGACAGAACCUAAACUCAGCCCCCACGACCCGGUCACAGAAACGGCAGCGUAAGCUCUCCGAAACGACUGAAUCUGAUGGAUGAGUCUCUGGAGGUGGGAGAGGAAAAGAUCGAGGGAACAUGAGAUUACAGUUGUUACAAUACACAGCGGGCUCUUUACUGGGCCACUUCCACACAGGAACAAAGAAGAGCUUGAGAACCUUGUCGUUCUCCACUAGAUCAGCCAUGGAGCCGCAGUUUAUGCACCUGCCUACACCUGAUUUAAGGACCUGGCGCACCUGCUGCUCUACUCCUCCAACGAAGAAGAAGAACAUUUUUUUUUCUUCCGUAUGUAGCUACUGGGUUGGGAUUUCGUUGCUGCGUUCGCUUUAUUAAAAGAGGAUGAGGCGGUCAGGGGCUUACGAGAGUGGAGAGUUCUGGACUUUCUGGUUCUAUGACUAAAGCUGACGUAUGCGUCGUUGUGCCAAUACUUGAUGGUUAAAAUUGGGUACCCGAAUACUUAUCAGCAUAAAAUAGGGAAAGCAACGAUUCGGGUUUAUGUCAGUAUUUGAUCGUAUCGAAUUUUAAUAUGUUGGGUUUAAU